AGGACACAGAGCUCUGCAGCCUGGCUGCUGUGGAGGGCAGGAUCUCCAGCCGAGCAGGCUGCCUUUUGGGUUAUUCCUUCUGGAACAGACUUUUCUGAAGGACCAUGCAAAUCUGCAGCUGGUCCUAAGGCAAACAAAUCUAUUCUCGUCUCAACGAAUGCAUUCACUUGGAUGCUGGGCUUAGCUUGAUCAAAAGGAAAGAUACAAGAUUCUUCCUCACAAGUUCAGGACUGAGAAAACCAAGCUUUCAAGCGCUGAAGCAAAAGCUUAUACUGUCCAGUCAACACCCCAAAGCAGUUCGCGAUUUAGAAGACGCCAAGAACCUGGACACCCUCCACUGGUAACAGUCUUAGGCCGAUUGGGAGAGCAGUGGCUGGUAAGAAGAGAGGGUCUGGCAAGCCCCAAGGAACACCGGCAAGCCAAGGAACACCAGCAACCACUGCUAACCACUCAGACUCCAGAACAUGCUCAAGUGUCUUACAGGAACAAAUGUAUUUUGUUUUGAUUUUUUGUUUUGUUUUGUUUUUUCCCCUAGCAGAGAGCUCUGUAAGCUGGUGUUCUGAACAUACUUUUGAAGGAUGUUCCUUACCAUUGUAUUUCAAGUUUCAUUAUAUGUGGUUUCCAUAUACAACUUUAAAAGCUAAAUCUACUUGCUUCUGUAGAGAUGCAUUAUGUGCUGUUUUCAUAUAGCGAAUGGAACUGUUUUCCAAGCAUAAAAUUUCGUAAGCAAGUGUUUCAAACAUGUUUUUGGGAGAUGUUUCUAGCAUUGCAUCUCAUCGUGCAUGAGGGCUUUAUACAUAAAUGUUUUAGAGCUAAAUCUAAGCAUACUUUUUAAGAGAUACAUUAUGUGCUGUUUUCCUACAGUGAAUGGAACUGUUUUCCAUGCAGAGGGCUCUUAAAGUAGGUGUUUGGAACAUACUUUCGAAAGAUGUUUCUUACCAUUGUGUUUAAGGUCUCAUUGUGAGGGGCUUACAUAUACAGGUAUAUGUACACUUGGCAAAGGGGACCAAUGGCUAAUAGCUUUUUAAUUUUUAUAUAUAUUUUUGAGAUAAGGUCUCACUCUGUCACCCAGACUGGAGUGCAGUGGCACGGUCGUGGCUCACCACAGCCUUGGACCUCCUGGGCUCAAGUGAUCCUCCUGCCUCAGCCUCCCAAGGAGCUGGGACCACAGGCAUGUGCCACCAUGCACAACUAAUUUUUUCUAUUUUUUGUAGAGACAGGGUCUCACUGUGUUGUCCAGGCUGGCCUCAAGCUCCUGGGCUCAAGAGAUCCUCCCGCCUCGGCCCCCACGAAGUGCUAGGAUUACAGGCAUGAGCCACCGUGCAUGGUGCUAACGGCUUUUAAAAAACUGUGCAAUCUACAGCCUGAUAAAUCAUAAAUCAUUUAUACUUCUCCAUUUGCUCAACCACCACUUUUUAUGUGCCCACUGAAUCCAUGGCACUUUUCUAGGCUGCAUGGUGGGGAUAUCAAGUAGAAGAUACAGCCUCAACCUAGAGGGACCAAUGAUCUAAUGAUAGCAACAAGGUUCCAUUUGUUGCCAUCACAGAUGAGAACUCCUAAGAAGCAAGUCAAUGAACAAAGGGAUUGCAAAGGCGGUAUGAGUGUCCAGUUAGGAAGUGAGAUGAGGUUCAGCAGGGAAAACAGCCUUUGUCCUGCAGUCAUAAUUUAUGCAGAAGCCUGAUCUGCCCUUGUACAAAUUCUGUCAAGGAUUUUUCCCCCCAACCCACCUGUUCAGCUGGUCUUCUGAAUCUGUAAGACUGAACUAUUUUUCAGAAAAAUAUUCAAUAGCCCUUUGGGCUAUUUUUCUAUCCCACAGAGGCCACAAAUCUGUAUCAAUUAUAAUAAGAAAGAGGGAAACUCCAGAUGUGGUGAGCUGGAGGAACCUCAGGGCACUUCAUUAUGAAUAUUUAGACAGUUUUCCUCUUGUUAUGAAAAUUAUGUCAAUCUGUUCCCCAGCAUGAGUUUCUGAUGAAUUUCAAUAUCAUAAAAGCUUUUUUUUUUGAGAGGGUGGGGAUGAUAAUGUUGUUUAACUAAAUCCUGAUCAGCUGAGUUUCACUUUCACUCAGAAAAUACCAACUCAUAUCAACAUUUUUAAAAUCAUCACAACUCUUAACCCUGAUGUGAGCUAGUAUUUUAGCAUGCUAAGGAGACAGACAUCUACGCAGGAAGGAGCUGCCCUCUUCUGCACUGCUGGGCAAUUUUUGUUAUAGUUUGUCUUCUGGCCAGAAGGAAGAGGGAAGGAGGUUGCUCAGAUCCCAAGCUCAGGGUCAUUUCUAAUAUGUAGUUGUUCAGUUACUCUGUGGCCUGUUACCUAAACAUAGGUGUCGUAUCAAAAUCCCGAAGCAGGGAAAUGGUCCAAAUGAAAGGGGCUUUUUAGGGGGCUUCUUAGGGGUCUGGGGUGGCACUAAAUGGAAAUCAUGGAAGAACAAUUACCCCAGAAUUUGCUCUUGACAACUGGAGACAGUGUGUGUGGGCUGAAACUGAAGAAUUUUUUAUUUUUUUUUUUUUUAUUUUUUUUUUUUUUUGAGACAGGGUCUCACUCUGCCACCCUGCUGGAGUGCAAUGGUAUGACCUUGGCUCAAUCACUGCUGCUUCAACCUCCUGGGGUAAUCCUCCCAUGUCAGCCUUCCAAGAAGCUGGUCUCAAACUCCUGGGCUCAAGUGAUCCACUUGCCUCACUCAGCCUCCUAAAGUGCUAGGACGACAGCUGUGAACCACUGUGCCCAGCCCAACUGUAGAAAUUCUUAUCCUGGUGUCUAUGAAAAAUGUCUGUCAAUAAACAUCCCUCAAGCCUUUGAUGACAGUAAUAAUUCCCUUUCCUGACCUGCUACCAUUUACAGGCAUAUUAACAUCUAUACCCAAAGACACCUUUCUCAUAUUCCUACUGAAUUGUUCACAUCUUCCUUUUGGCUCUUCCAUCAGCUGUUUAAUUUUUGAAUGCAGAAACCUUCCCCUCUGAAUUGUAAAGCUUUUAGAACUGAAUGAGAGGAUGAAGAUGCUGGGAUAAACCCUGGGGUUUAUCUCUAGUAUAACCCUCUGACUUCACAGACAAUGCAGAUGAUGAAGAGGAAGGCCAAAGGAAUAAAAUGACUUGCCCAAGUUCACAUGGCUAGCUAAUAACAGAGCUGGUCCUAGAAUAUGGGCUUCCUAUAAACCCACUCUUUUGAGUAACCCAUCCCCCACCAUGCUGUUCCUAGAGGGCCAGGUAUGUGGAUGUAGUUAAUAGACGCUUUUAGGACUGAACAAGGCUUGGGCUGGAGCCAGGAUUCUCCCACAUGCUUAGGCAAGCUGAGCAUUUGGAACUGUGUUCAUUUUCAAGCCCAGGAAGCCCCUCUUGGACCCCAGAAUUACUCUAAAACUAUACUGUCCACAGGGAGUAGGCAGACAGUUACCAGAGGCUGGGAAGGGUAGUUGGGGGCUGGGGGGUAGGAGGGAUGGUUAAUGGGUACAAAAAAUAGUAAGAAUGAAUGAGACCUAGUAUUUGAUAGCACAAGAGAGUGACUAUGGUCAAUAAUAACUUAAUUGUACAUUUUAAAAUAAAGAGUGUAACUGGAUUGUUUGUAACUCAAUGGAUAAAUGCUUGAGGGGAUAGAUACCCCAUUCUCCAUGAUGUGCUUAUUUCACAUUGCAUGCCUGUAUCAAAACAUCUCAUGUACCCCAUAAAUAUAUACACUUACUAUGUACCCACAACAUUGUUUUAAAAAGAAAAUAUUUUAAAAAAUAAAACUACACUUUCCAAUAUGGUUGCCACUAGGCACACAUGACUAUUGAGUGCUUGAAAUGUAGCUACUCCAAAUUGAGGUAUACUAUGCCUAUGAAAUACAUAUGGGAUUGUGAAGACUUCACAUGAAGAGAGCAAUGAAAGUAUCUCAUUUAAUAAUUUUACGUAGAUAACAUGUGGCGAUAAUAUUUGGAUAUAUUGAGUUAAAUAAAAAUACAUUAAAAUUAA